rnacentral:rRNA from 1 species
UCGACGCUUUGUGGUUCACUGAUUUGAAGAGCUUGCUCAGAUAUGACGAUGGACAUUGCAAAGAGUGGCGAACGGGUGAGUAACACGUGGGAAACCUACCUCUUAGCAGGGGAUAACAUUUGGAAACAGAUGCUAAUACCGUAUAACAAUGACAACCGCAUGGUUGUUAUUUAAAAGAUGGUUCUGCUAUCACUAAGAGAUGGUCCCGCGGUGCAUUAGCUAGUUGGUAAGGUAAUGGCUUACCAAGGCGAUGAUGCAUAGCCGAGUUGAGAGACUGAUCGGCCACAAUGGGACUGAGACACGGCCCAUACUCCUACGGGAGGCAGCAGUAGGGAAUCUUCCACAAUGGGCGAAAGCCUGAUGGAGCAACGCCGCGUGUGUGAUGAAGGGUUUCGGCUCGUAAAACACUGUUGUAAGAGAAGAAUGACAUUGAGAGUAACUGUUCAAUGUGUGACGGUAUCUUACCAGAAAGGAACGGCUAAAUACGUGCCAGCAGCCGCGGUAAUACGUAUGUUCCAAGCGUUAUCCGGAUUUAUUGGGCGUAAAGCGAGCGCAGACGGUUAUUUAAGUCUGAAGUGAAAGCCCUCAGCUCAACUGAGGAAUUGCUUUGGAAACUGGAUGACUUGAGUGCAGUAGAGGAAAGUGGAACUCCAUGUGUAGCGGUGAAAUGCGUAGAUAUAUGGAAGAACACCAGUGGCGAAGGCGGCUUUCUGGACUGUAACUGACGUUGAGGCUCGAAAGUGUGGGUAGCAAACAGGAUUAGAUACCCUGGUAGUCCACACCGUAAACGAUGAGUGCUAGGUGUUUGAGGGUUUCCGCCCUUAAGUGCCGCAGCUAACGCAUUAAGCACUCCGCCUGGGGAGUACGACCGCAAGGUUGAAACUCAAAGGAAUUGACGGGGACCCGCACAAGCGGUGGAGCAUGUGGUUUAAUUCGAAGCAACGCGAAGAACCUUACCAGGUCUUGACAUCCCUUGACAACUCCAGAGAUGGAGCGUUCCCUUCGGGGACAAGGUGACAGGUGGUGCAUGGUUGUCGUCAGCUCGUGUCGUGAGAUGUUGGGUUAAGUCCCGCAACGAGCGCAACCCUUAUUACUAGUUGCCAGCAUUCAGUUGGGCACUCUAGUGAGACUGCCGGUGACAAACCGGAGGAAGGUGGGGAUGACGUCAAAUCAUCAUGCCCCUUAUGACCUGGGCUACACACGUGCUACAAUGGCGUAUACAACGAGUUGCCAACCCGCGAGGGUGAGCUAAUCUCUUAAAGUACGUCUCAGUUCGGAUUGUAGGCUGCAACUCGCCUACAUGAAGUCGGAAUCGCUAGUAAUCGCGGAUCAGCACGCCGCGGUGAAUACGUUCCCGGGUCUUGUACACACCGCCCGUCACACCAUGAGAGUUUGUAACACCCAAAGCCGGUGG